rnacentral:lncRNA from 1 species
GUGAAUCUUAUCAUCCAUGUUAACAAGACAAUUUCUGGUCCCAGCCUAGAGUCAGAAUUUCCGGGGCGUUGGGGGUGGGGUUGGGAAGCUGUGCUGCGCAAGCUUCGCCGGUGAUUCUCAUCACCACAGAAGGACUGGUUUCAGGUGUGCCUUCCUGCCAGGUGAGGGAGAGCCUUUAAAAGAGGUGUAGUCAUCAAGCGCACAGACUUUUUAUUUUCACUGUCUGGGUUUGCCUCUCAGCACUGCUUCGUGAAGUAUCGCCAUCUUAGACAGUUGCCAUGCAAGAGGGUGCUGGUUCUCCUUGGCCUUUACCCGCUGGCCUUGAUGGUUUUAGACCUUUAACCAGACUUAAGUUCCAGCAGUCACCUAAAGUUAUCACCCCUUCCUCAUUGGAGACAAUGAAUCAUCCCCACCCCGUAGAGGGCCCUCUCCUGGAGGAAAAGAAGAACAAUCGGAGAGCAGGUAUUUGUUUCAGGAAUAAAAGAGUGACCCUUGUUACCUGGCCAGUGGUUUCAUUCACCUCUUUUUGCUCUUCAUCAAAAGCCCAUGACUCAUCUCAGGAUGUGCUGGAAUUGGAGAGCAAGUAAAACCCCCACUAAGUCCUGGUAAGAGCAGCUGGUUCUUUAAUGUUUAUCAGGAGUGAACUCGGAGCCUGGAGAAGUGUACAUGUGCUCAUCAGCAAUCA